UCUUGGCAAGCAUUUUUAUUGAGAAAUAUAAUGAAAAUCUGAUUUUGAACUCAAAAUUCUUAUUCAAAAUCAAACACUAACGAAGCUCUUAUUAGCUUGAGGGAAGGAAAAAUUAGCAAAAAAAGUACUUACUGUUGCGAUAAGUUAGACGCAUUUUAAGCAGAGUGGGUCAUUUUGUGUCUGGGAAAUAUCACCGGAUGGUGAUGAAUAGUCUCCAUCAAUGGUGUCCUGUCAGUUCUGUAGCCAAAAGCAGUCAGACAAAGGCUAUUAGACGAGAAGGAGCUAUCAUUCUUCGUCUAAAGCUUCAAAAGGACACUGAUGCAUUCAGACUAGAGAGAGAGAAGGAAGCGACCAAAAGGGUAUAUAUGGUGAAAGCUGUUUGAUUUUGCUGACAAGUAUAGGGUUCUUACUCGGUUCUUGUCCAUAUAUUCUAUUGCUACUCAGGUUACCAGGAAUAUUCUAUGGUGGGAAGAAAGAUUUAAGAGUGACAUUGAAUCAUUUAUGUGUUCAAUGAUGUAAACAAGCAGCUCUCUACAUAUUAAAACAACUCCUGAUAUAUAUAUGUAUAUGUAUUAUUAACUAACAAUUUUAUUAUAUAUUAAUAUUAAUUAGAGAUACAUGCAUGGUAUUAUUGGUGGAAAAGAUAAAUAUUUUUUUAUCGAUAAAUAAACUGAUUUGUUAGUUUUAUUUGUUUUAUAAGAGAUUAAAUCCGUGAUAUUUUUUUAAAAGAGAGAAAAAUAAUCCAUGAAAAGUGAUUGUGACUGCAACGUGAAUCAUGCUGUGGUUCAAUGGAUGAGGUUUUAUUCCCCCCCUAAAAAACAAACAAAGAGUUAGUGCUUGUGAGGUACUUAGUGGGUGUUUUUGGGAUGAGUGAUAAUGUGACUGUGAUCAUUGCACGUGGAGAAUAAUUGUACCUGGGCCCUAUAGUAGAUGACAAGAAAGAUUAAAAUAAGUGUAUUAUUGGAAAGAGAGAGAGUGGCUGCAGCGUGGUUGAAUGAUGAUAUUUUAAAUUAAUAAAGGCAUUGAUUUUUCUUUU